GCUCGCCAGCACAACGUUCCAUUGAGGCGAGCGCGUGCUCCGCCGAGCACAUGGGCGCUCCGCGCUGCCCUGCCUUUUUUAUUUUCCUUUGCACCACGUUAUGGCUUAUUUUUAUUUAUUUUUUCUUUUAUUUUUCAUGCUCCCGGCCCUCCGGACCCCUUUCCCAGAGAGAGAGAGAAAAAGAAAGGGAGGGAGGUUUUGGGGGGGGAAAGGGCGCGGUGCUCCCUAGGUCACCUCAGGUAGCAGAAAGACUGCUUAAAUCUUUGUGCCAGAGACUACAGGAGUUUUCUGCAAGGAAAUGGAGCUCUGCUCUCUGAGGGCCCAGUUUCACAUGGAGGGACUGGACAACCCAGGGUGAUAAGGACCACCACAAAACUCAUCAUAUUCUGCUCCAAGUGCAAGUCACUGGGAUUGCCAUGGCAGCAGCAGCCCUUGGGAUUGUGAUUUCAUCAUGACAGAACAUUAUGUCGGGACAGCCCACACCGAGGGGAGGGUGCAACUGGAGCACCGACGAGAUGGCAGCUGGCUGAGAGGAGCUCGUGCUGAGGUUCCAGCCCCAUGCUUUCCACCACUCUGGAAUAACAUCUGAAGGAGCCCAGCAGCACGGUCCUUUCCAUAGCUUCCAAGGAUUUUUAGGAUCAUGGGAUUUAUGGACCCACAAAACCCUCUGGAGAACAUCAGCUGCGGACAAAAGCAUUGGGAAAUUCCUACUGUCUUUUUGCCCUUUGUUUUCUCCCGUGUCACCGAAUUUGGGAAGGAAGCAUCUCUGUCCUGAGGAUUAUAGCAGAGCAGUUACUCGCCGCCCUUACUGGAAUACGGUUUCUCAAGACGGAGUGAUUAUUGCACAAUGCAGGAUAUUUUUUCCCUUUUGCAGAGCUGUUCUGGUGCGGCAGUCGUCAUGUCCAGCAGGUCUCGCUUGACUGCGAAAAGGAGAAAGGAGGAGCGUGUGCAGGGAGGUCAGGUCCUGCCAGGGCUUCCUGGGAAAUGAGGAGAAAUGAAGAGGGUAAGAUAACCAAGGUCAGCACCUCACUUCAAGCUGCCAGUUGGGCUCCUCAUGGGGAAGAGAACUGCGUGUUUUUAAGAAAAUCACACUUCAGCAGAAGGCUGCCUUCAACAACAGGCCAGAGCACUGUGUGAUGCCAAGGAAAUCAUUUGCUGCAGAGCCCCAAUACUGCAAUCCUUGUUUUUCCUGGGAUAUCUCCCAUGGACCUUCUGGCUGAUUUUUCUCUCAUGAGAUCCAACCUGAUCAUCGUCUGUUGUGGUAUGUGGGGCUUCAAGCCAAGAAUAUCCAUUGUUUUUGAAACAUGAUUAUUACUGUUCAAAAUAGGCUUUUUUCCAUGAUCUUAUAAGAUUUUACCACUUCUCUAAUAAGGUAAUUUUAUCCCUGCUUUGGCAUCUGUACUCCUUGAUGUUAUUUUGGUGUGUACUUUAUAUAUAUCUUAUAUAUAGCUCUGUGCAUGCAUGCAUCACUAUAUGUGAUUUAUAUACAGCCUGCCUUGCCUGUGCUGUCACAGGGAAAUCAUUCUCACUUUUGUGGUGGGGGUCUUGGGUCAGAUGUGUUAGGGCCAUUGCCAGACCUCUCUGUGAACUGUCCCAGUUUGCUUCCCUUCAUCCCCAAAUGAGACCGCUGCUCCUCCUGGGCAAGAGAAGAUAAGACCCAUCUGCUGCUUUAGCUAUGUACAUGUGAGGGGUGCAUGGGCUUUGUAGCUGCAAGGUGGAAGCCCCUAAAUCUCCAAGUUACAGGUGUGUACAGACUUGGGUCCACAAAUGCCUUCCUGUAGUCAAAGCAGAAAUGGGGAAAAUGCCUUUAAAAACUGGGAUAAAACUGCCCUGAAAGAUGAGGGGAAAUGUGCUGGACUGUGCCUGGAGUGCCUGCUGUAGCACAGGUGUGGGUGAAGGCUGAAGGCAGCAGUGGUGGGUGGAGGAGAAGAUCUUCAGGGAGGAACUCUACAUCGGAUGUGAGACUUGAAAGGAAAAUCCUGAUUUGGAUAUUGAGAUGGUUGAUGGUGGUAAGUGGAUCCCCCCGUUGCUUCUUACAGUCCUUACUUUUACUACAUUUUCAUUAUUCACACUGUGGGUAAAACCAGGGAUCUGCAGCCCAAUAAAAAGAGUUAAGUUGUGACAGUCUGAAAUUGUGUGCUACCAUCUCCCCUUCCCUCUUGUCCUCCAUCCCCAGGUCUUUUAGGAUGGGGAAUUUCGAAUGGGUUUGUAUAGAGAAGGAAUUUUGCCUUGCUUUGGGUUGGAAACAAUUGAGUAACAAAUAUUUCCUCCUGAGGGAAGGGGUAAGAAUGUAUUUUGAUGGUGUAUGUGCUAGGGUCACAUGCACAAGCUUAAUAACAAAGGAGGAGGAACACAACAAACCAAUGUGCCUUUGGGGCAGAAAAGGAAUCAGAUUUAACCAUGGGGUCAAGUUGUGGGAGAAAACUGGACCCUAAUGUUCAGCUCCAACCUGAAGGAACCCAUGGAGCAAGAUGGCCACUUAAUUGACCUAUCUUUUGGUCCUGUUUGGAAGAGGAUUUUCUCAUUGCUUGAACAUUAAUGACCUUUAUGGUCUCUGCACUGUCAGCAUCAUGUCUGCAAAGGAGAUGGAGACAUCGUCUGCCGUGACCAUGUCAGUUUUACAUAUUUGCAUAAUGUAAACCCCAGUCAAGCUGAAUAGUGACAGGUGUCUUUGUAAUAGGCAUACAGAGGUUUACAAGAAGCUCUGGAGUUUCUAGAUUGAUAACGUGAAAACAGACACAAAAUGUGUGUGGUGUAGUGUGUGGAGGAGGGUUUGUUUCUUUGUGACAGUUCAGUUUUGGGAAGAAGAUAAGAAGAUGAAGUUAUUAUUUAUUACAGUAAAUCUACCAUGUACUUUGACGGUCAGUUUUGAGAUUGUCAUCUGAGGCAGGUGUUAUGCCCAACAUAAGGGUCUUGGUGGGCUUCAAUUUUAGCUGGAUUUUACAUCAAAUUUCUGGACUGCAGAAGGAUGCAGCUCUUGCUUUGAGGAGUGCUGCAGCUUGCCACCAGUUAAUUGCUUUAAUAGCAUUGGUGGACCUCCAUCCUCAGUACUGGGGCUGUUAUUCUUUCUUGAUUUGAUGAAAAUACCAUUUUUCUAAAAAAAAAAAAAAAAAAAAAAAAAAAAAAAAAGAGAUGUUACAGUUUGAUACAGGCCACAAAGGCGUUAAAACAUUGAGCCUGAGUUUUGUCACUUACUGUCACCUUCUUCAGUGAGAGCUCUGCUGAUGAUAAAAAGGUUUCAGCAGUGUGAAAUUGCUGAAGGAAAGAAAACACUCAGAAGUUUCAGCUUAAUAGUCACUCAAGCCAUAGCUCGUUCUGGAAGGCUCAGUGUGUGUGGACAUGAGUAAGCCUUCAGAGUUCAGCGUGGGCUGUAUCAGCCAGAGUGGGGGUUUCCCAGGUUAGACCUGAAGCUCUCCAGUCAAGAGUUCAAUGUCAUUGCAGCUGCCUCUACAGGAAGGCUUUGGCUAACGCUGUGUGGCAACAGCUGUCAAAAAUGGGUAUUAUUCCCUUAGCAGACAAAGCUAUAACAGGAAAAAUGUCUUGUGUCAACCUGGCCUUUGAAAUUCAAAUGAGUAAGAGCAACCUCACUUUUAAAUGUCAUCAUGUGCUUUGUGUGCUUUCUUCAUAAUUUGGUUGCUUGCUUUUCUGUGGUUACUGCAUUGCAAGGCUUUUGCUUCAAAUGGUGCUUCAACAAAAGGGAAAGGAGAGGAGAAAGUUGUGUGGGGAGUCCUGCGGGGCCGCUGCCCAACUGGAGGUUGUGCUGAUCCGGGAUCGACUCUGAAGCAUCAGAAUAAGCAUUUUGUUCCUCUAAAAGCCCAGCUGAUGGUAGAAAUACCUGCAGCCUCGUUUUCUUUCAUCAUAAAACUUGGGGGAAAGGUGUGUGAAGGAGCACUGCCAACUUUGCUUUGCAGCAUUGCUUUUUACUAUACAUCACGGGUCCGAUUUAGGGUCUUUUUGUGCCUGGUGGGCUCCGGUGCCUGGCAAGCUUGCUUGCGGCAGGGCACGUGCCACCAAAACGCCUCGAGGUUGGCUCGUACCUGUGUUUAUUGCCUUCUGCACAGUGCAGCUUCGGGGUUUGCACCGCCAUGCAGCUCCGUGGUGGACGUCUGCCCCUCCAAACUGAAUCCCGAGGUGUGUGCUGAGCCAUGACUGGAAGUGGGGACAUCCUUCUGCGGGAAGCUGGUUACGGAAAUGAACUGCGUUAUUUUGGGCUACACCACGACGGGCUGACUGGUAGUGAGGUUUCUGCUCUGUCUGUGAUUAACCCAAUGGUGACAAUAAGAACAGAACAAAAAAAAGUCAUUAAAAGUGAACAAAAAAAACGGAAGAAUAUUUUGGAUGCCAGAGGAUGCUCAUCCACAGAACUUAAUUGUUUUAAUUCAGUGAUCAGUUCAAGUUGGCUUUACAGAAUCCUGUCUGAGCAAUGGACAUUUCUGUGGAAUUAAUCAGAAAGAACUGCAGUUGCUUUUACCAUGUGCAGAAAUAGCCCUCAGACUGACGACAAUGUGUAAUAGCAAUGACUGUAGCUGUUGACUUAGCCAGAAAUAUGCAGCCAGUAAAAAAAAAAAUUAAAAAAAAAUCAUCUGUAAGUAUCUCACGGGCCUCUGAAUCUGUGCUGAAAAUCACUCGGAGCUUUAUUGCGAUGGUUGGGUAAGGGAGUUGAAAAGAGUAGAAGGAGUUUUGGGGCAAGGUGCUGAGGUCGGAUCCAUGCUGUGAGAUUGGAUGGGUUGGGAUGAGAUGGAAUGGGAUAGGAUGGGAUGGGAUGGGACGGGACGGGACGGGAUGGGAUUGGGUGUACCAUUGAUGCUGUUUUACUUUGGCAGGGUGGAGGAUCAGUUUUGAAAAAAAAAAAAAAAAGACUGUGGGCACCUUUUUCUCCCUUUAUUGAUGUUGAAAUGCUGUGUAUCCUGUGUUUUAGGAUCUGCCUCAAGGGUCGAUGCACGGCAGUUACAUGAAGCACCCUGGCCUUCUGCAGAGGAUGAGGCAUUGCUAAUCCAAACCACAUGGGUUUGGCUGGGUACAGGGGUCACUGCUUGGGGUGGAUGGGGCAGCUACUGUACACAUCUCCCCUGGUUGCUCACUCCUGGUUUAUGGCACAGCCAAUGCAAAAUGCAGCAGCUGGGGUCUGUACAGCAGUGCUCAUGCGACUGAGGAGACAGAUUUUAUCUUGUCAGGUGUCUAGGAAGGGGUGAAGUGAGCAGCACUGUAUUCCCACCUCAUCUCAGCACCCAUCGCCUUGCAGACCUCAUAUUUUGGCACUUUUCAAAUUGGUGAUGUGCAGAGGGCUUUCAGCUCUAAUCAUGGUGUCGCUAUUUUUCAGCAAAGUUUUUCCUCUCCCUCUGCUUUCAGCAUAUUACUUUUCUAAGGGCAUAAACAGCCAGCCUGGUGUUGUGGGGCAGGCUGCUGGAGCUCAUCUCCGUGGAGCUUAAACUAGGAUGCGGGGGCACAAGCAUGGGCAUGCUGCAGCAAACACCACAGCAGAUGGAGUGGGAGCCUCCCCGGGCCAAUGUGAUCUUCACCCUCCCGUGAUCUCAGCUUCCUGCAACCCCCUGCUUGUAUGGCCCUGCAACCGGUGUGGAAGCAUCCGUGCAGCGCAUCAGCACAUCACAACCUCAGACUGCCACUCAGCUUCUGCAGGGAUUCCAUCAGCAGUGCCCGAUCUCAGCCCAACCCUCGCCUGCUGCCUGUGUUGCCCUCAAUGCACAGAGGUGGCAAACAGGCUGCUUCAAAGCCUCAGCAUCACCUCUUCCAUGUGGGGGAGCAGGAACCUUUUUUGGACAUGAAUUAGCAGAUGAAGGCUGGUGGAGGUGAAGUCUGAAGCUUUUCCACAUUGUGCUGCGGGAGCAUGCCUGCUUCGUGGAAGCUGCAGGGAGUGACGAGCGCUAGGGGAAAGCUCAAAGGCUGCUUUGGUGGGCAAGGGCCAAAAGCUGACAGUGGGAGCAGUCCUGAGUCUGGUAGAGCUGGCUGACAACAAACUCCCUCCUUCACUUGCUUUCCUUGUGGAAUUCAGCGAAUGGAGUUACUGGCAGCAUCGAGUUGGAGAGGAGACGUGGUUUUGCUGGGCACCGUAGGCACUUCCAUUGCAUCAGUGCCCGUGCGUCCUGCAGGCGCAGCCUUCGCCCCGUCGCUGCCGGCUGGGCAGGCACCAGGCUGGCUGCUCCCAUCUAAUAGCUGGAAAUUAAGGCUGGGAGCGAGCAAGAGCUGCUUGGCAGCAAUGUAGAGGACUUGUGUGAUGGAGCAGAGGCUGAAACUCAGGCGAAAAGAUAUUCCUACACAUCAGGAGCUGAGUGCUGCAGAGCACGGUGGGGCACCUCCAUAGCCUCGCAGAGUACUCGUGUACUUUUUCAAAUGGAUGAAGCUGUGACCCCACCAAAACAAUUUCCAAAGAAAACAGUGUUAAAAAAAAUAAAAUCAAAGGUUGGAGUGUUUUGAGGUCUUUACAGCUGCCGCAGCCCCUGCUUGGGGACUAGCCUCGGGCAGGUCGCAGUGCUUACAGGGCAGGGAGCUGGGGAGAGGAGGAGUUAGGGUGGGUUAAAUUCCAGAGAGGGAUGCUGAAUUUCAAGAGUUAUCCUUGGGAAAGGUGGAUCUGCAGGCAUUCGGUGAAAGAGCCGAGAGGAGGAGGUGGAUUAGGUGAGGGCGUGGAUUCCAGGAAAGGGUUUAUUUCUUAGAUUGCAGAUGCUUAAUGUUAUUAGCAUCCAAAUGGCUCCAGCUGGUCUUUGAAGUCAGCAUCUCAUUGAGAAGUAAAGAGCAAAAGAGGUGUGGGGAAUAAUUUAUUUAAUAUGGGGCUGGUGAAUGUAUUUCUCUGCAAGACCUCUGCAAAAAUGUAUUUUUGCUGCAAGAGUUAGCAGCAAGACUAUACGUGGUUUAUUUUGGGAGCAUUGUUUCUGUGAAACACAAGGCAUUUAUCACUUUUGCUGUUUUUUUUUUUGUUUGUUUGUUUGUUUGUUGGUCUUUUCUUUCUCAAUACUCAAACUUGAUUUAUGCAGAAGACAGCAGAAAGCCACAAAACUGGAGCCUCAGUAAUUUCUUUACAUCCACCAUUUCCCAGCGCUCUGGAUUGGAAACCAACCUCAGCAGCUGCUGACUGUCUCGUCUUUCCUCCGUGUGAACCUGUUUCCAGGGAGCCAGCCGGGAGCUGUGACACUUCCCCCUUCCAUCUCCUUCACAGAUCUGCCUUUCACGACCAUUACAACCAGUUCCUGCCCACAGGAUGGCCCAGCAGCGUGCCUUUGAUCCAGAUCAGACGUGGGCUUCUCUGUGGGUUGGGUGCCCAUCAAACCCAACCAUCAACCUGACCUACCAAGUCCCCCCGCGUAGCAGCGUGCCCUGACUCAUCCCUGCUGAAACUGCCCCACUCCCUGCCCCGGGGCUCUGCUUUUCUGGGUGCUUGUUUGGGGCCAUUGCUGAUUCCUGGUGAAGUCUUUCCACCAAUUUUGUCUUGCGCCCCACAUCCCCGUGUUUGUGCCCUACAGCUGCAGCCACCACAUCGUCCCUUUGAGCUGUGGUCCAUGGCAGCUCAGCUAGGGCAGGAUGUGUGGCACAAAGAGAUGAGUUAGGCACUGGUGCUAGUGAAGCAUGGCACAAAAGGGGAGCUGGGAGAGUAGAAUCUGUAAUUUUGGUCAUAAUUUGGGCAUUGUCGGAGCCCUUUCUGAUGAACCUCUUUAAAGGGUGUUUCGGUGUUUUAACAAACAGAAGAGGAAGGGGAACGUGGAGCAGAGAAGGGGUCUCCUGCUGUGCAUGUAGGAGUGAUGGGUGCUCCUGGCUGCUCUUCACCUGUGGCAUGAAGGGGAUGAGAGCAGCUUUCCUGUCUGUUCACUCGCUUUUCUUUCCCACUUGUGCAAUUUUGAAAGCAUUUUGCGUGUUCUUUUCCUCUUCUCCUAGACUAAGUGAUUGUCUUCUCUUUUUUUCUUAGCUGGUUCAUUCAUGCAGAAGUAGGGAAUAGUGAAAUAUUAUUAUUUUUUUCUUCUGAAAAGAGAUAAAUAUGUUUGGUAGUGAGAACAGUUUUUGCUAGUUGUCUGAGGCAGCUUGAAAUUCUUAAGGAAAAUCAGAAUUGUUCCAUUAGGGCAAGCUGCUUGCAAGCAUCUUGCUUAACAGGCCAAAAAGCCCCGAACAAAACCAAAACAGAAGCAAGCACCAUUCUUUCCAGCUAUGAAAUUUGCAUCUGAUUUGGAGUUUUGGUUGUAAGCAGUUUCCCAGAAAAACAAAACGAGCCUUUUGUACAUAUGUUAUUGCCUUCCCUUCCUCCUCCUUCUCCUCCUUCUGCUGCUCAUCGCCUGUGUGCUGGGCUUUCACCCUUCUGCCACCAACAGGGACAGCACCACUGGUGUCCCCAACCCUCCUCUAUCCUUGCGCUGGCUGCAGCACUCAUCCAGCCACAGCACACUGUGCUGUUAGAAAGGGGAGAUGGGGCGAGCCUACCUGAUUUUUGGCUGUGUUGAGUUGCUAGACUCAUGCCAUGUUGUAGUACUGAACUGUGAGUUUCAGCCCAUUCCGCCUCACCUAUUGGGAUUACAUCCAUGUGAUUUAUAGGAUGAAAAAGUGUUUUUUUUUUUUUCUUCCCCCUCUCCAACUGCUUCAAGAGUUCCGAGGUAUAGAAGGUCAUUGAUUUUCUUCUUUUCUCCCUCAAACUGUAUUGAAACUAAUUCCAGGCCUCCAUAAAUAAAUACAGCAUAGGGCAAAAUUUUAUUUCAACAGAAGGGAAAAGUCCAGUACACCAUCAGCUCCUUCUAUUUCAGCACGUGGUUGUCUUGUCACCCACCUACAUCUAGAAAUAUGCUUUCUUCUCGUGUGUUUACAGAGGCAUUCGAGCUCAACAUGAUCGAGCCUGGUGGUUGCUGGGAUGGUUGGACAGGCACUUCCAGGUGCCAUCUGUACACAAGGACGUUGGUGAUGCAGCAAAUGGCUGUUUUCACAGGGCUGUUGGACUUGCCUUUUGAUGAUCACUUAGGAUCUUAAAGCCUUUGUACAUUCACAUUUAUCUUUGUGUUGGCUGCAUUUCAACUCACUUUCUUCCCUGUGAACAAGUUCUAUUCUGUUGAAUAAACCGUUCCUCGCAAACCA